rfam:Trichobilharzia regenti genome assembly, scaffold: TRE_scaffold0001976
AUCCAGAUGAUGAGUCGCAAAAAGGAUGAAAUGCGCAUCCUGGAU